rnacentral:rRNA from 1 species
UGAGGAAUAUUGCGCAAUGGGGGCAACCCUGACGCAGCAACGCCGCGUGAACGAUGAAGGCCUUCGGGUUGUAAAGUUCUUUUCUGAGGGAAGAUAAUGACGGUACCUCAGGAAUAAGUCCCGGCUAACUACGUGCCAGCAGCCGCGGUAAAACGUAGGGGGCGAGCGUUAUCCGGAUUUAUUGGGCGUAAAGCGCGCGUAGGCGGCUUUGUAAGUUGGAUGUGAAAGCUCUCGGCUUAACUGGGAGAGGUCGUUCAAUACUGCAAAGCUUGAGGUUGGAAGAGGAGAGUGGAAUUCCCGGUGUAGUGGUGGAAUGCGUAGAUAUCGGGAGGAACACCAGUGGCGAAAGCGACUCUCUGGUCCACACCUGACGCUGAGGUGCGAAAGCGUGGGGAGCGAACGGGAUUAGAUACCCCCGUAGUCC